rnacentral:rRNA from 1 species
GAUGAACGCUGGCGGCGUGCCUAAUACAUGCAAGUCGAGCGAAGCGGGGACGGGUGAGUAACACGUGGAUAACCUCCUAUAAGACUGGGAUAACUUCGGGAAACCGGAGCUAAACCGGAUACUUAUCGAUGGAUCCGCGCUGCAUUAGCUAGUUGGUAAGGUAACGGCUUACCAAGGCAACGAUGCAUAGCCGACCUGAGAGGGUGAGCGGCCACACUGGAAAGGAGACACGGUGCUGAAUCCGACGGGAGGCAGCAGAAGGGCAGCAUCCGCAAUGGGUGAAAGCCUGACGGAGCAACGACGAUUGAGUGAUGAAGGUGUUCGGAUCGUAAAACUCUGUGAUGAGUGAAGCGGUACAUAAUCAGAAAGCCACGGCUAACUACGCGCCAGCAGCCGCGGUAAUUC